UACGGAGGAUCCGAGCGUUAUCCGGAAUUAUUGGGUUUAAAGGGUGCGUAGGCGGCCAUUUAAGUCAGCGGUGAAAUUUUGCAGCUUAACUGUAACAGUGCCGUUGAUACUGUUUGGCUAGGAUUUGGUUGUAGUGUGCGGAAUGUGUGGUGUAGCGGUGAAAUGCUUAGAUAUUACACAGAACACCGAUUGCGAAGGCAGCUUGCUGGGUCAUUACUGACGCUGAUGCACGAAAGUGUGGGGAUCAAACAGGAUUAGAUA
rnacentral:rRNA from 1 species